CCUACGGGAGGCAGCAGUGGGGAAUAUUGCACAAUGGGGGAAACCCUGAUGCAGCGACGCCGCGUGAGCGAGGAAGUAUUUCGGUAUGUAAAGCUCUGUCAGCAGGGAAGAAGAAUGACGGUACCUGAAGAAGAAGCACCGGCUAAAUACGUGCCAGCAGCCGCGGUAAUACGUAUGGUGCAAGCGUUAUCCGGAUUUACUGGGUGUAAAGGGAGCGCAGGCGGUUCUGCAAGUCUGAUGUGAAAGCCCGGGGCUCAACCGCGGGACUGCAUUGGAAACUGCGGGACUGGAGUGUCGGAGGGGUAAGCGGAAUUCCUGGUGUAGCGGUGAAAUGCGUAGAUAUCAGGAGGAACACCGGUGGCGAAGGCGGCUUACUGGACGAUGACUGACGCUGAGGCUCGAAAGCGUGGGGAGCAAACAGGAUUAGAUACCCGUGU
rnacentral:rRNA from 1 species